rnacentral:rRNA from 1 species
GCUUACUGCCAUAAAACCCUGUCUGUGCCUGAUCUCGUCUAAUCUAGGAAGCUAAGCAGGGACGGGCCUGGUUAGUACUUAGAUGGGAGACCGCCUAGGAAUACUAGGUGCUGUAAGCU